GUAGGGCGCGAGCGUUGUCCGGAUUUAUUGGGCGUAAAGGGCUCGUAGGCGGUUUGUCGCGUCGGGAGUGAAAACACCGGGCUUAACUCGGUGCUUGCUUUCGAUACGGGCAGACUGGAGGUAUGCAGGGGAGAACGGAAUUCCUGGUGUAGCGGUGAAAUGCGCAGAUAUCAGGAGGAACACCGGUGGCGAAGGCGGUUCUCUGGGCAUUACCUGACGCUGAGGAGCGAAAGUGUGGGGAGCGAACAGG
rnacentral:rRNA from 1 species